rnacentral:rRNA from 1 species
CAGCAGCCACGGUAAUACGAAGGGGGCUAGCGUUGCUCGGAAUCACUGGGCGUAAAGGGUGCGUAGGCGGCUUGACAAGUCUUGUGUGAAAUCUAUGGGCUCAACCCAUAGUCUGCACGGGAAACUGUCGGGCUUGAGAAUGGGAGAGGUGAGUGGAAUUUCCGGUGUAGCGGUGAAAUGCGUAGAUAUCGGAAGGAACACCUGUGGCGAAAGCGGCUCACUGGACCAUUUCUGACGCUGAUGCACGAAAGCUAGGGGAGCAAACAGGAUUAGAUACCCCAGUAGUCCCUGUCUCUUAUAC